rnacentral:lncRNA from 1 species
AGGCGGGCCACGAUAGGCUUGAAGGGAGGGAUAUAGGGGCGGAACCUUCCGCGAGGGUGGGGCUGUCCUAGAGGCGGUGGCGGAAAGCAAGGAAGCAGGGGUUCGGCGAGGCCCUGCCCUACAGGGCUUGGCAGGGUUUGUGGCCGUUUGGGAGGUGCAAAAAGACGGCAGGUCCACGUCAAUUGCAAGCCUCUCCUGUGUCGAGUGUGCUCUUUGUUCCUCAAUCUUAAUCUUAGGGCCCCUGAGCAGCGUCCUUCAUUGGAUCCCCCGUUCUCUGGCCCCACCUUGGGCGCCACUUGUCCCGGCCCGCGGUUCUGAGUGUGGAUACUGGAAAGGCUGGCCCUGCGUGUCCCCACCCUAAGGACAUGUAUCCUGGAUAGAAUAUAAGAUACAGAAAGAGAGCUGCUGUUAUCACUUGCUGCUUUCUGCUUUGCUGCCUGCCAUGAACUGUUUCUCCAAUGUGAUGCUCCUCUGCCACGCCACCCUAUUUGGAGCCAGAUGAUUAUGGACUGAAACCUCUGC